GUACGGGAGGCAGCAGUGGGGAAUAUUGCACAAUGGGCGGAAGCCUGAUGCAGCAACGCCGCGUGAGGGAUGACGGCCUUCGGGUUGUAAACCUCUUUUAGCAGGGAAGAAGCGUGAGUGACGGUACCUGCAGAAAAAGCGCCGGCUAACUACGUGCCAGCAGCCGCGGUAAUACGUAGGGCGCAAGCGUUAUCCGGAAUUAUUGGGCGUAAAGAGCUCGUAGGCGGUUUGUCGCGUCUGCUGUGAAAUCCCGAGGCUCAACCUCGGGCCUGCAGUGGGUACGGGCAGACUAGAGUGCGGUAGGGGAGAUUGGAAUUCCUGGUGUAGCGGUGGAAUGCGCAGAUAUCAGGAGGAACACCGAUGGCGAAGGCAGAUCUCUGGGCCGUAACUGACGCUGAGGAGCGAAAGGGUGGGGAGCAAACAGGCUUAGAUACCCUGGUAGUCCACCCCGUAAACGUUGGGAACUAGUUGUGGGGUCCUUUCCACGGAUUCCGUGACGCAGCUAACGCAUUAAGUUCCCCGCCUGGGGAGUACGGCCGCAAGGCUAAAACUCAAAGGAAUUGACGGGGACCCGCACAAGCGGCGGAGCAUGCGGAUUAAUUCGAUGCAACGCGAAGAACCUUACCAAGGCUUGACAUACACGAGAACGGGCCAGAAAUGGUCAACUCUUUGGACACUCGUGAACAGGUGGUGCAUGGUUGUCGUCAGCUC
rnacentral:rRNA from 1 species